GGCGAACGGGUGAGUAACGCGUUGGUGACCUGCCCCGGAGAGAGGGAUAACAGGCCGAAAGGCUUGCUAAUACCACAUGCGCAGUUGGGAGAUUAGAAACUUGACUGCAAAGGAGAAAUCCGCUCUGGGAGGGGCCUGCGACCCAUCAGCUAGUUGGUAAGGUAACGGCCUACCAAGGCGAUGACGGGUAGGGGACCUGAGAGGGUGGCCCCCCACAAUGGGACUGAAACACGGUCCAUACACCUACGGGUGGCAGCAGUAGGGAAUAUUGCUUAAUGGGCGAAAGCCUGAAGCAGCAACGCCGCGUGUGCGAUGAAGGCCUUCGGGUUGUAAAGCACUUUUGACUGGGAAGAGGAAGGACGGUACCGGUCGAAUAAGCCUCGGCUAACUACGUGCCAGCAGCCGCGGUAAAACGUAGGAGGCGAGCGUUAUCCGGAUUUACUGGGUGUAAAGCGCGUGCAGGCGGUUGGUUAAGUUGGGUGUGAAAGCUCCUGGCUCAACUGGGAGAGGUCGCUCAAGACUGGCCAACUGGAGAGCAGUAAGGGAAGGUGGAAUUCCGGG
rnacentral:rRNA from 1 species